rnacentral:rRNA from 1 species
AUUGAACGCUGGCGGCAGGCUUAACACAUGCAAGUCGAGCGGAUGAAGGGAGCUUGCUCCUGGAUUCAGCGGAUGACGCGUGAGUAAUGCCUAGGAAUCUGCCUGGUAGUGGUGGAUACCGUCCGGAAACGGGCGCUAAUACCGCAUACGUACUGAGGAUGAAAGUGGGGGAUCUUCUGACCUCACGCUAUCAGAUGAGCCUAGGUCGGAUUAGCUAGUUGGUGGGGUAAAGGCCUACCAAGGCGACGAUCCGUAACUGGUCUGAGAGGAUGAUCAGUCACACUGGAACUGAGACACGGUCCAGACUCCUACGGGAGGCAGCAGUGGGGAAUAUUGGGCAAUGGGCGAAAGCCUUCUCCAGCCAUGCCGGGUGUGUGAAGAAGGUCUUCGCAUUGUAAAGCACAUUAAGUUCGGAGGGAGGGCAGUAAGUUAAUACCUAGCUGUUUUGACGUUACCAACAGAAUAAGCACCGGCUAACUUCGUG